rnacentral:lncRNA from 1 species
CUUCUUCUUUUCUUAUUUGGGGAAAAUGUAUAGAUUACAUAAGAAUGAUAGGGAAAACUUAACAUUCAUUUAUUGAUUUUCACUAUAUUUUCUCAUUUCAGAAUUCAAACUUAAAAAGUUGCAAUAAGUAUUUGAUGUAACAAACAGUUUCGAUAAAAGGAAGUCUUUUUCACAUUUGUAUAUUAUAGACAUAUUUUCCCUUUGAUGUUUGGCGCAUGCGCAUAAUUGUACCUUUCUGGUGCUGUUCUUAGCUGAUCGGAUUUAUCUAUGACGUCAGUGGAUUAGCGUCACAGGAAUUUCCAUUUCCUCCUAUAAUCUUUUGAUGUCGAAGUCAGCCAUAUUGUGACUUUCUGAAAGCUGCCGAUAUUAAUUGAGAUUGCUGAUAGCGAAGAUUUGUGAGUACUUUGAAAGAGUGAUUAUUUGAUUCUAAAGUAAUAUCUUUAGUUAUUUAAUAUAUUUUUCUACUAGUUGACCUCAAAAUUUCAUCUGAGUAGGUCUAUUUUCGAAUCCUCUGAUCUAAGCCUAACUUCGAUAUUUAGCUGAUUUGAACUUUAUUAUUUUCUUGGAGCUAUAUCAGUAUUUAACCUAAAGUGAUAGCCUAAAAAUCACUUAAUAGUUUGUAAUUGAAGUCUGCUUAGUAAUUUCUUAUAUUUUUACUAUGUGCAGAAGCAACAUGCAAACCGACGAACUCCUUGAUAUGUUAUCUAGUGUUUCUAGAAAGCAGCUCAGAGUUCGGGACAAUCUACGAGUUGAAGUGCUGUUAAAAUCUACACACAAGCUGCUAGACAGAGAAUUGAGAGAGAAACAACAGUCGAGGAAACGAAAAUGGGAUGAGUUGAAGCUGGGUCUAUGUCUUGCUAAGAAAUUGAAGCUGGAACCAGAUUCCCGUAUGGAGAUAGAUGACGAUACCUGCGAAGAACUUUUGGGUCUGAAAGAUUUUUUUAACAGUUUAAAAGCUGUUUCUACCUCGUCUAGUUAAUAAUAUGAACUUUAGUAUUGUAAAUAAGAUUAUAUUUGUCAUAUGUAAAUAUUCAUCAUUAUAAUGUGGGUUGUUAGCAACUCAUCAUCUGUUAUAUAUUCAUCUGUUUCUUUUUACAGCAAGAAUUAUAUUAAUCUCAAUAACUGUGAUAUUCUGUGGUUACCCGUCGACUGAAUCGAUUCAUUGUGAAAGGAGACAACAUGGUAAAACUGCCAUUAUUAUUGCCACUAAUGUAAAUAAAUUAUUUAUUUCAAAUUCUAUAUUUUGUCUUUUCUCUUACUGUAAUUAUUACUUGUUAUCUUAUUUCUUUCUCUUGAUCUCUUUAGCUAAUUUAUAUUUGAUGCUUGCCUUAAAUAAGACUACCGUGAUUCAAUGUCUAUUUCUAAGAUGAUAUAGUAAUACCUGAUUUGUUUGGAAGUGGAGUUAGAUUGAAAGAGCACCAGCGUGUAAGAAAUUUAGAUUCGUACAUUUUGAAUUUUUCCACUUAUUGACUCCUUUCAACUAAGUGGCUUGUUUUUGUUUAUUUCACAUUCAGUGCUAUACAAGGAGAGUUUAAUAUGAAUUUUGAUGCUUACAAGAUCUUAAAGUCUAAAUUUUAUAUCACAUACUUUAAAUAGAAUGUUUGUUUCAGUUAUUUUAAGUUGAUUUCUAAUCUAAGGUGUGCAUUUUAAUGAGAUUUUUAUGAAGAAUGAUAUUAUUUUAAACUUAAAGUUUUAUUUGCUUUUGAGACAAUUUGGACUUUUUUCUAAAGUCUGACAUUGAUAUGACAGCCAAAUUUAUAGUUUUGGUUAAAUUAAAUUUAAAUUAUUGUUGCUUUUCAAAUUUAUAUUACUGAGUAUUGAAUUAAUUGGAAUCUAAUUAUGAUCCUAUUAAUUUCACUUUCAAUUUUUUUUUUGUAAUGCAUGCUUUAUAAUUACUCAUUAUUGCUUUACUGUAAGGCCACUUGUGAAUUAUUGUUUAAAACUCUUUAGUGGAAGAUUAUAAUCCAUCUUCCAAGUCUGCUGUGUGCCGAGAUUCCUCUGUUUUGGGACAAGUCUUAAUGAAAGGAGCUGUCUUGUUCAAACAUCACUGGGAAGGGAAGAUGAAUACAAUGGUGGAAUUAAGUUAUAGUCAAGGUUCACGCAAGUGCUGAUGGAUGCACUCUGCAAGCUUGGUAUGUAAAAUUUACAAAAAGAAA